GACGAACGCUGGCGGCGUGCUUAACACAUGCAAGUCGAGCGGAAAGGCCCUUUGGGGUACUCGAGCGGCGAACGGGUGAGUAACACGUGAGUAAUCUGCCCUGCACUUUGGGAUAACUGCCGGAAACGGUGGCUAAUACCGGAUAUGACUCCUUGCCGCAUGGUGGGGGGUGGAAAGUUUUUUCGGUGCGGGAUGUGCUCGCGGCCUAUCAGCUUGAUGGUGGGGUAAUGGCCUACCAUGGCUUCGACGGGUAGCCGGCCUGAAAGGGUGACCGGCCACACUGGGACUGAGACACGGCCCAGACUCCUACGGGAGGCAGCAGUGGGGAAUAUUGGACAAUGGGCGGAAGCCUGAUCCAGCAACGCCGCGUGAGGGAUGACGGCCUUCGGGUUGUAAACCUCUUUCACCUGUGACGAAGUCUCUGCUUUUUGGUGGGGGUGACGGUAGCGGGAGAAGAAGCACCGGCCAACUACGUGCCAGCAGCCGCCGUAACAC
rnacentral:rRNA from 1 species